GAGAAACACUUCCGUUUCCUAUUCUCUUAGCGUCGCCGAAGAUUGCUUUUUUUCUUUUCUUUUUUUUUCCAGCGAAUGCUUAGACCGUUCAUCUAACCGGCGUCGAAAUCUCCAUCUAUAAUACGUGAAGCCAUUGUUUCCGGCGAUACCUGUUAAAACCCGGCGGCGAUGGUGUCUUUCAAUUGAUUUCCAACUCACCAACAAAAAAAUAAAUUCUUGGAAACAUUACGAUAAUCAGAUUCAUACAAUCGUCGCCUCAUCAACAACAUCUCCCACUCCUCACCCGAUCUGUUAUAUAAAUAUGGCGGAAAGCUUUCACCUAUAGCUGUUGCUUUCACCGAUGAGCAGACCAAGAGUUUUACGAAGCUUUCUGUCUCCUCGACAAAGACUCAGAGGGUAUGUCGUUGUUUACUUUGGUCUUACUCAAAAUACAACCUUCUAUACGAACAGACCAUGGAACUGAUGAUAAGAUGGAUUAGCUGAUAUUUAUAUAUGCUGUUCGUGAGAAACCAAAGAAAGUGAUGAAAUCGAUGUGGAAGAAUUGAAAUGCAGAACUUUGGGAGAUGAUGAUCGUCAUCUACGUUUGAUGGCAAUGGAGACAUCUAUAUAAUGGCCCAAAACACCUCUCAGCAGGGAAGCUUGAAGAUCAUCAGCCACCAUCCCUACUUCAAAUGGAUAUACAAAACAUAGACAUAUUUUUAGAUUAGUCUUCGAUAGGUGCAUAAGGAGGUGGUACGGUGAGAGAUCAGCUGGAGAAGAAAGAGCGAGAUCCAGGAUUGUAGAGUCAGAGUGAAAGGAGACGGAGCCUGAGAUUCACGACACACAAGCAGAUGGAUUUAACUUCUUCUUAUGAUCAGAACGAUGCUUGACAAUGAGAUUCAAGGAGAAGAAGCUCCGGAACCUUCUCUUGCUGGAAAGAGAAGAAAAGAAACUGAAAGACCAAGCUCUGCUCUUCCACAAAAACCAAGGUAAUCAAUUGCUCAUAGAGCAAAAGUACGGGAAUUCUUUAUCCAAAAAGAAGAUGAUCGUGCACAAUGCAAUUGUUGUUUCUGCAAAAUUGCAGGAACUGAAAGUAGCACCUGAAACACGUACGUGUUCUCCACGUGAAAUUACUAAGUGUAUCUUGGUUCCUUUUUGUAUUUAUUUCAGCUUGAGUUACAAUUUGUGUUUGUUUAAGAUUUUUAUUGCAAGUUGUUUUUUCUUCUCUGUUAUUGUUGUAAACUUGUGAUGUCAGCAUCUUUCAUCAAUAAGUUAGUACAACGUGGGUUCGAAACUUA